AACUACGGCUGUUCCGUGAGAAACACAAGCAAAUAAUGCUAUAAAUACAUGAGGCUGUGCAACAUUUAAGUCACCUCCAAUUCAACACACAAACUGCAAUGCGCAAACCCUCGCUCUACAUGAAACCUCUCAACAACCUUGAGAUUUUUAUUUUCUUUUUCCGCCAACACAUCUUCAGUUUGGAUAAACAGCACUGUGAAGGCAAUCGGAGACACAUUCAGUUUGGAUAAACAACACUGUUGUUUUAGAAUCAGCCGAUCGCGGAGCACCUUCAAUUUGGAUAAACAACACUGCAUCGAGGCAAACUGGUUACCUAUGCAAGUCUCGGUCGAGAAGAAUUUUUUAAUCCUUAUUGGCAGAGGUCAUCUCAUUAGCUUUCUCGGUGAAGUGAGGUGUUACAAAUUACUAGGCUCGACACAUUGAACGCCGAGUUGUUUAUGAUUGGUUAUUCACAAGUAAGUUUUAGAGUUUGGCAUUCUGACGGCUGAACCACAUUCACAAUCAAGACGUACAUCUCUUUUGAGUACUUGUGUCCAUAUAGUUUGGUGCCAGUUCGGCGAUCUUAUACUCUUACGAAUAUAAUCACCGUGUCUGAACCUGGCGCCAACGAUCCGUGAACUUCGUAGAACUAGCAGCCUUGUCUUCAGGCUCUAAAACUCGAAGGUCGAGACGUGUUCGUUCCUCGGCUGCAGUCGCAAGAUCAAAAAUUCAGCAGCCUGGAAAUUCAUAUUUGUGCCAGUGACUUUGUAAUAGAUUCUAAAAAUUAAUGCCAAGGGUUGUGUUCCUUCAAGGACUUGAUAUCAUGAAGUUUUAAUGUUUAAUGUAAGUGUUUUCAGCAUGUGCAGAUCUGAAAGACUUAUGGUAAAGUCUGGAAAACAAUCAAAAUGGAUAGGUCCAUUAUAAAGACUGGAUUCAAUCAUUCCAAGUAUGCUAUCACUAAAAUUAGUAAAUCUAGCAUCUCGGAGACAUAACAAAAUAGAGGUGUUAAGGCCUCUACGUGUUAAUGGUUUUAUAGCUAUUUGAACUAAACCUAUGUGGAUAUAGUUAUGACCAUCUUUCUUGUGUAUUUUAAUUUGUUCAGGGGAAAACAAUUGACAAGUUUCAUGUUCUUUACUAAGAGCAUAAGCUUUUUCAACUAUUUUAACAUGAUGUUCACUUCUAAAUGAGGCUACUGACCAUUUCUUUUUGUAAAUAUUUUUACUUGAAACCUUGGGGAUAUUCCAAUCUCCAAAAUCAACAUUGUCAUCAGUUUGAAAAUCAAGUUUUUGUUCUUCAUUAACAAUAUCUGGAACUGUGCCUAAACUAGAUCUAGAGCUAGUGCUGGCCAUUGAAUUAGAUCAUAAGAACUGACUAAUUCCGUUUGGUAAUUGGGUUGUGGUUGAUGAUAAUUUAGCCUAAGGUUACUUACUGUGGAACCUAAGGGAGUAAAACGGUUGGUAAUGAUUAGGGCCGAUGAGGAAUCGGGAAUAUAUUCCUGUUUUACUGGUGGUGGAGGUAGAGUGGCUGAAAGCGUCAUCUGGCUAUUGCUAUUGCUCUUGUUUGUCAUUCUUCCCCUGCAAAAAUUCUCUUGUUAGGAAAUCGGGGAUGCUGUUAUGGCUGCCUUUAAUGUACUCAAUGUCAAAAUCGAAAAUGCUUAAUAUGGCCUGCCAUGGUGCAAAAAUUUGUUUUGAUGCAAUGUUUUGAACAUCUUUUUGUAAAACAUGUUUUGCAGAUUUGCGAUCGACUCGGACUAAAUUUUUUUGAUAAUAUAUAUAUAUAUAUAUAUAAUGUUAGCUUGAUUCAGGUUGCCACUACCGAGAAGUGAUUAGAACGUUCAUGAUUGGGGGCAGGCCGAGCUGCCAAGAAUGGUUUUUCUCGGCCAAGGUGGCAGAACAGAGCCAGUUAUCCACGUGAUUGUAAUGUGCUGAGCCGCCAAGAAUGGUUUUUCUCGGCCCCAUUUGGAAUUCAUUAGUCUAUCGACCGUAUAUGUUGAAUGGUCGAAGUGAUUACGGGGUUUAGCUACCAACAGAAGUAAUUGGCUUCAGCUUAUGGACAUGUUAUGGCAUGAGGAAUCGUGAUCUGCUUCAAGGUACAAGGCUAAUGAGGAAUCAUGAUUUGCUUCCAAGCUGUCAAAAUACCAUUGGAAAGACAAGUGUUUUUUUUAGGCUGAGCUUGGCCAACUCAUCGAGGUAUACUUUCCAAGUUAUGUAACCAAAUAACUUUUGAAGGCCAGGAAACUUGGCCCAAAUUUAGAACAACAUGGUACGGAGUGAAUUUUUAUUCGGCGGUGGAUGCUCAUUUCUCCUUAACCAUAUAUUUCUAGGUGUCACUCAGAAGUGCUCAGUGGUCAGGGAAUGUACGAUUAUUGGUUCUAGAUUUUUUGAACUGACAGUCGUUGAGUGCACAAGAGAGUCCUCUGCUUUACCAAAUCACUUCAUUUUCGGUGAUAGAGGGGUUUUUUGACUGCGUUAAUUUCCUUAACCAUUCAGCUUACCAGCCGAAGCUCAAGGAAACUAGGAGGCAAUGUUUAACACUAUAGGUCUGAGCAAUCAAGUCCAUAGAAUGAGUAAAAUUUAGAGCCGUUGGAUUGAAAAUUAUUUCUAAAAGUGUAGCUGUUUAUGGGUCGGUUCUGUGCACAUGGCUUAAGUGCCGUGUGAUAACAAAGUUUCAGAGUUGCUUUUCUUUGUAGAAAGCAUAAGGUAACGCUAAAAUAAUGAUGAGGUAAGAAGCCUAGAUAGGCUAGGCUUUUGGUCAUGAUAGGAUAAGUCAGGAUGGGCUUUUAUCUUGUUUGAAAAGUCAGCCAUUUGGAUGAUAGGCUUCAACGUAUAGAUGAAAUAAGGAAAUAGUGACGUAAUGCUGCAGGAGGUUACCAUGCAUGCAUAGAUAAAGAUUAUGAAAUGAUGGUAGGACUGAAUAUCCUUGUAGGAUGCCAAAAGUUUUAGUCAAAUGGCAUCACAUGCAAGACUUGAAGAUAAAGUGGUAGUACGUCAGUUUGCUACAAAUGAACACGUGGGUCCAGUUUGCAUGAGAUGAUUAUUUGGGGUUGAGCUUUGAGUUAAUCAAAUGUGUCAGAAUGAGAUAAAGAUAAGUCAAGAUGAGUACGACAUGGGCUAAAGUGUUUAAACUUUGGCGAUGCAUGCACUUGGACUCAAAUAUGGGCACUAACAUUGCAUGGUUCCUCAGGAUUCUAUAGAAAGAGUUUCAUGUGCAUCCAAAUUGGUCUGAUUCCGUCAAAUCCAACAACCAAUGUCCAAUAAGGAUGGAUCAUUGUCAAGUGGUCAAUUAACGAAUGAGAUGGCUAUCAAUAUUUUUGUUUGUAUCAACUACUUAUCUUCAUGAGUCAAUUAACGAAUGGGAUCGCUAUCAAGAGUUUUAUUUGUGUCAACUGCUUAUCUUCAGGAGGUUCAAAUUGUGGCCAACUACGGAUGUUCAGCGAGAAACAUAAGAAAAUAGUGCUAUAAAUACAUAAGGUUGUGUAACAUUUAAGUCAUCUCCAAUUCAACACACAAACUACCCUGCACAAACCCACGCUCUAUGCAAAACCUCUCAACAACCUUGAGAUUUUUAUUUUCUUUUUCCACUAACACAUCUUCAAUUUGGAUAAACAACACUGUUGUCGUGGAAUUAGGCGAUCGCGGAGCACCUUCAAUUUGGAUAAAUAGCACUGCGUCAAGGCCGACUAGUUAUCUAUCCAAGUCUUGGUUGAGAAACAUUUUCGAAUCCUUAUUGGCAG
rnacentral:lncRNA from 1 species